UGAAUCCAUAGGUUAAUGAGGCGAACCGGGGGAACUGAAACAUCUAAGUACCCCGAGGAAAAGAAAUCAACCGAGAUUCCCCCAGUAGCGGCGAGCGAACGGGGAGCAGCCCAGAGUCUGAAUCAGUGUGUGUGUUAGUGGAAGCGUCUGGAAAGGCGCGCGAUACAGGGUGACAGCCCCGUACACAAAAAUGCACAUGCUGUGAGCUCGAUGAGUAGGGCGGGACACGUGGUAUCCUGUCUGAAUAUGGGGGGACCAUCCUCCAAGGCUAAAUACUCCUGACUGACCGAUAGUGAACCAGUACCGUGAGGGAAAGGCGAAAAGAACCCCGGCGAGGGGAGUGAAAAAGAACCUGAAACCGUGUACGUACAAGCAGUGGGAGC
rnacentral:rRNA from 1 species